UACGGGGGGAGCAAGCGUUGUUCGGAAUUACUGGGCGUAAAGGGCUCGUAGGUGGCCAACUAAGUCAGACGUGAAAUCCCUCGGCUUAACCGGGGAACUGCGUCUGAUACUGGAUGGCUUGAGUUCGGGAGAGGGAUGCGGAAUUCCAGGUGUAGCGGUGAAAUGCGUAGAUAUCUGGAGGAACACCGGUGGCGAAGGCGGCAUCCUGGACCGACACUGACGCUGAGGAGCGAAAGCCAGGGGAGCAAACGGG
rnacentral:rRNA from 1 species